rnacentral:rRNA from 1 species
AUACGUAGGGGACGAGCGUUGUCCGGAAUUACUGGGCGUAAAGGGCGCGCAGGCGGAUAUUUAAGUCAGCUGUAAAAGGCAUGAGCUCAACUCAUGUAUGCGGUUGAAACUGGGUAUCUAGAGUGCUGGAGAGGUAGGCGGAAUUCCCGGUGUAGCGGUGAAAUGCGUAGAUAUCGGGAAGAACACCAGUGGCGAAGGCGGCUUACUGGCCAGCAACUGACGCUGAAGCGCGAAAGCCAGGGGAGCGAACGGGAUUAGAUACCCCGGUAGCCCUGGCAGUAAACGAUGUAUGCUGGGUGUGAGACUAGCGAUAGUUUCGUGCCGAAGUUAACGCGAUAAGCAUACCGCCUGGGGAGUACGGUCGCAAGAUUGAAACUCAAAUGAAUUGGCGGG